rnacentral:rRNA from 1 species
UACGUAGGGUGCGAGCGUUAAUCGGAAUUACUGGGCGUAAAGCGUGCGCAGGCGGUUUUGUAAGCCAGAUGUGAAAUCCCCGGGCUUAACCUGGGAAUGGCAUUUGGGACUGCAAGGCUUGAGUGCGGCAGAGGAGACUGGAAUUCCUGGUGUAGCAGUGAAAUGCGUAGAUAUCAGGAGGAACACCGAUGGCGAAGGCAGGUCUCUGGGCUGACACUGACGCUCAUGCACGAGAGCGUGGGGAGCAAACAGG